rnacentral:rRNA from 1 species
UACGUAGGGGCCUAGCGUUGUCCGGAAUUACUGGGCGUAAAGAGCUCGUAGGUGGUUUGUCGCGUUGUUCGUGAAAACUCACAGCUCAACUGUGGGCGUGCGGGCGAUACGGGCAGACUGGAGUACUGCAGGGGAGACUGGAAUUCCUGGUGUAGCGGUGGAAUGCGCAGAUAUCAGGAGGAACACCGGUGGCGAAGGCGGGUCUCUGGGCAGUAACUGACGCUGAGGAGCGAAAGCGUGGGGAGCGAACAGG